ensembl:miRNA
CAAAACCACCACUGGACUUGGAGUCAGAAGUUCCAUGUGUGAGUCUUGGUAGGGCCAGUGGAUUGCUAA